rnacentral:rRNA from 1 species
GGCAGGUCAGCAUACUGCCGUGAAUACGUUCCCGGGCCUUGUACACACCGCCCGUCACACCAUGAGAGUUGGGGAUACCCGAAGCCUGUGAGCUAACAGUAAUGAAGCAGCAGUCGAAGGUAGAAUCAAUGAUUGGGGUGAAGUCGUAACAAGGUACC